GACAGAGGGUGCAAACGUUGCUCGGAAUCACUGGGCGUAAAGCGUGCGUAGGCGGUUCGUUAAGUUCGUUGUGAAAGCCCCGGGCUCAACCUGGGAAUGGCAAUGGAAACUGGCGGGCUGGAGUAUGGCAGAGGGGGGUGGAAUUCCGCGUGUAGCAGUGAAAUGCGUAGAGAUGCGGAGGAACACCGAUGGCGAAGGCAGCCCCCUGGGCCAAUACUGACGCUCAGGCACGAAAGCGUGGGGAGCGAACGGG
rnacentral:rRNA from 1 species